GGACUCUGAAUUCUGGCCUGAAUCUGUCACAUAAUUUCUAAGGAGUUUUAUACACAGAACAGCCUGAACGACAGUCCAAACCACCAAGAACAGUCAUCGGUCCUGAUGGAGGCUAACGUCUCCGAGUCAGACUGGCUGUUCGCUGCUAUUUAUGUCAGAGCACGCCCAGUGGCGGAAUCAAGAUGAUGGGGCUGUGGAAGCGAAGGGGAUAGACGUACUCUGACUCCCCCCUGCAAUGCAGCAUUAUCCGUGACUGAUGCUUUCUUGCAUCGUCGAGGAUAUUGCAGUUAGAUGUAGCCCCGUGGCAAAGAGGUACAUCUUAAUCAAAAGACACAUAUUUUGGCAUCGGCUACCAAGACUAGAAUAAUGCCUGGUACAGAGUAGGUACAUUUGUUUCUUAAUAUACUUUUUCCUGGGUACAUGGCGCUCUUAAUCACUACUAAGCAGCAUCACUUUGAAGAUAUUGUCCCGAAUCCUCCAGACAACAAUUUGAGGGAUCCAUUUGACAAAUGAAGCAACAAAGACAAUGGAAUGCAACAUUCUGAGAAUGCAAACAAAUUUCCAAAUUCACACCGCUAGAAGUUAGCAGAGCUCAGAUUUGAAUGCAUGAUUCUUUUCAUACAAAGCUUCUCAUUAAAAUUACUUAGCUAUAUUGCUUAUUCUAUUAGGAAAAUGGCAUAAAAAUUCUAGUGCCUGUAUAAAUGGAGUGGUUGGCCCUACAAUAAAAAACCAGGCUAUGACAAACAGAGGCAUGUGAAGCUCCAAAACAAAUUAAGUGUGUCUUCAUUUACCAGUUGAUGACCUUAUAUAAGGAUUCAUCUUUAAAUGAAAGUGUUUCUGGGAAAGAAAGCACUCUUGCUAUAAUGGUACUAUCAAUCCUGAGAGUAAAGAAUAGCUUAAAGAUGACAUAUAGAGUCAAGAGAGAUGGUUUGAGACAGUUGGCCAAAUUAGGCAUCUCAAGGCAGAACAACAGAAUGAACAAAGGAGCACAGACCAUAAAUUUCAAAGUGUCCAUAUUCAAAUUCUGAUUCUAUCACUUGUAGAUGUUGUAAUUUAGGAAGAGUAGAUACGUUUUAUGAGUAUCCUAAGUUUCUAAAUUGUAAAUAUAAAUCGAAAAAAAAUGUGACCUCAAGGAGUCUUCAGUGAAUUAAAAGAGUUUAUGUAAACACAGUCCCUGGGAUGAAGAAGGAGUUCACCAGCAGUUUUAAUCCUUAUCCAAAUAUCUGUUUAUCUCAGUUUCUCCAGAGGGUAGUAUUACUUCCUUACUUCUCAAAUCUGGAAGCUGCCCUCAAUGGGUGACAAUUACCAAAAGUUAUCAAGCUACAAAUUCAAAAUAUAGACGUUGUGGAGUGAUGACUGUAAAACAGAGAGCCACAUAUUAACAUUGUAACUUUUAUGUUUCCAAAGCAAUUUUACUCGGCAGUAGAGAAACAUUCUGCUUAGAAGUGAAGUUCAUAUGUAAAUUCUCCUUUUACUUUUUGUUGAC
rnacentral:lncRNA from 1 species